CCUACGGGAGGCUGCAGUGAGGAAUAUUGGUCAAUGGGCGCGAGCCUGAACCAGCCAAGUCGCGUGAGGGAAGACGGUCCUAUGGAUUGUAAACCUCUUUUGUCGGGGAGCAAAAGACGCCACGCGUGGCGUUCCGAGAGUACCCGAAGAAAAAGCAUCGGCUAACUCCGUGCCAGCAGCCGCGGUAAUACGGAGGAUGCGAGCGUUAUCCGGAUUUAGUGGGUUUAAAGGGUGCGCAGGCGGAAGAUUAAGUCAGCGGUAAAAUUGAGAGGCUCAACCCCGUCGAGCCGUUGAAACUGGUUUUCUUGAGUGAGCGAGAAGUAUGCGGAAUGCGUGGUGUAGCGGUGAAAUGCAUAGAUAUCACGCAGAACUCCGAUUGCGAAGGCAGCAUACCGGCGCUCAACUGACGCUCAUGCACGAAAGUGUGGGUAUCGAACAGGAUUAGAUACCCGGGUAGUC
rnacentral:rRNA from 1 species